rnacentral:rRNA from 1 species
ACGAACGCUGGCGGCGUGGAUAAGACAUGCAGGUCGAACGAGAGAAUUGCUAGCUUGCUAAUAAUUCUCUAGUGGCGCACGGGUGAGUAACACGUGAGUAACCUGCCCCCGAGAGCGGGAUAGCCCUGGGAAACUGGGAUUAAUACCGCAUAGUAUCGAAAGAUUAAAGCAGCAAUGCGCUUGGGGAUGGGCUCGCGGCCUAUUAGUUAGUUGGUGAGGUAACGGCUCACCAAGGCGAUGACGGGUAGCCGGUCUGAGAGGAUGUCCGGCCACACUGGAACUGAGACACGGUCCAGACACCUACGGGUGGCAGCAGUCGAGAAUCAUUCACAAUGGGGGAAACCCUGAUGGUGCGACGCCGCGUGGGGGAAUGAAGGUCUUCGGAUUGUAAACCCCUGUCAUGUGGGAGCAAAUUAAAAAGAUAGUACCACAAGAGGAAGAGACGGCUAACUCUGUGCCAGCAGCCGCGGUAAUACAGAGGUCUCAAGCGUUGUUCGGAAUCACUGGGCGUAAAGCGUGCGUAGGCUGUUUCGUAAGUCGUGUGUGAAAGGCGCGGGCUCAACCCGCGGACGGCACAUGAUACUGCGAGACUAGAGUAAUGGAGGGGGAACCGGAAUUCUCGGUGUAGCAGUGAAAUGCGUAGAUAUCGAGAGGAACACUCGUGGCGAAGGCGGGUUCCUGGACAUUAACUGACGCUGAGGCACGAAGGCCAGGGGAGCGAAAGGGAUUAGAUACCCCUGUAGUCCUGGCAGUAAACGGUGCACGCUUGGUGUGCGGGGAAUCGACCCCCUGCGUGCCGGAGCUAACGCGUUAAGCGUGCCGCCUGGGGAGUACGGUCGCAAGAUUAAAACUCAAAGAAAUUGACGGGGACCCGCACAAGCGGUGGAGUAUGUGGCUUAAUUCGAUGCAACGCGAAGAACCUUACCUGGGCUUGACAUGUAAUGAACAACAUGUGAAAGCAUGCGACUCUUCGGAGGCGUUACACAGGUGCUGCAUGGCCGUCGUCAGCUCGUGUCGUGAGAUGUUUGGUUAAGUCCAGCAACGAGCGCAACCCCUGUUGCCAGUUACCAGCACGUGAAGGUGGGGACUCUGGCGAGACUGCCCAGAUCAACUGGGAGGAAGGUGGGGACGACGUCAGGUCAGUAUGGCCCUUAUGCCCAGGGCUGCACACGUACUACAAUGCCCAGUACAGAGGGGGCCGAAGCCGCGAGGCGGAGGAAAUCCUAAAAACUGGGCCCAGUUCGGACUGUAGGCUGCAACCCGCCUACACGAAGCCGGAAUCGCUAGUAAUGGCGCAUCAGCUACGGCGCCGUGAAUACGUUCCCGGGUCUUGUACACACCGCCCGUCACAUCAUGGAAGCCGGUCGCACCCGAAGUAUCUGAAGCCAACCGCAAGGAGGCAGGGUCCUAAGGUGAGACUGGUAACUGGGAUG